GACGAACGCUGGCGGCGUGCCUAAUACAUGCAAGUCGAACGCAGUGGGGACGGGUGAGUCACACGUGGGUAACCUCCCAUCAGAGGGGAUAACACUUGGAAACAGGUGCUAAACCGAUACUGAUGGAUGGAACCGCGGUGCAUUAGCUAGUUGGGUGGGUAACGGCUCACCAAGGCCACGAUGCAUAGCGGACCUGAGAGGGUGAUAGGCCACACGUGAACUGAGACACGGCCCAGACUCCUACGGGAGGCAGCAGUAGGGAAUGUUCGGCAAUGGGCGAAAGUCUGACCUAGCAACGCCGAGUGGGUUAAGAAGGGUUUCGGAUCGUGAAUCUCUGUUGUUAGAAAGGCGGUACCUAACCAGUAAGCCCCGGCUAACUACGUGCCAGCAGCCGCGGUAAUAC
rnacentral:rRNA from 1 species